GCCCAAGGAUGGGGCCGCGGCCGAUCAGGUUGUUGGUGAGGUAAUGGCUCACCAAGCCUUUAACCGGUUCGGGCCGUGGGAGCGGGAGCCCGGAGAUGGGCACUGAGACAAGGGCCCAGGCCCUACGGGGCGCAGCAGUCGCGAAAACUCCGCAAUACGCGAAGGCGUGACGGGGCUAUCCCGAGUGCCGUCCGCUGAGGAUGGCUUUUCCCCAGUGUAGAUAGCUGGGGGAAUAAGGAGAGGGCAAGUCUGGUGUCAGCCGCCGCGGUAAUACCAGCUCUCCGAGUGGUGGGGACGUUUAUUGGGCCUGAAGCAUCCGUAGCCAGCUGAGCAAGUCCCCAGUUAAACCCAGCGAUUUAAUCGUUGGACUGCUGGGGAUACUGUCCGGCUAGGGGGUGGGAGAGGCCGACGGUAUUCCCGGGGUAGGGGUGAAAUCCUAUAAUCCCGGGAGGACCACCAGUGGCGAAGGCUGUUGGCUAGAACAUGCCCGACGGUGAGGGAUGAAAGCUGGGGGAGCGAACCGGAUUAGAUACCCGGGUAGUCCCAGCUGUAAACGAUGCAGGCUAGGUGUUAGGGCGGCCACGUGCCGCUCUAGUGCCGCAGGGAAGCUGUUAAGCCUGCCGCCUGGGGAGUACGGCCGCAAGGCUGAAACUUAAAGGAAUUGGCGGGGGAGCACCACA
rnacentral:rRNA from 1 species